rnacentral:misc_RNA from 2 species
AACGCACAUUGCGCCCGCCAGCAUUCUGGCGGGCAUGCCUGUUCGAGCGUCAUUUCAACCCUCGACUUCCCUUUGGGGAAAUCGGCGUUGGGGACCGGCAGCAUACCGCCGGCCCCGAAAUGGAGUGGCGGCCCGUCCGCGGCGACCUCUGCGUAGUAAUCCAACCUCGCACCGGAACCCCGACGUGGCCACGCCGUAAAACACCCCACUUUCUGAACGUUGACCUCGGAUCAGGUAGGAAUACCCGCUGAACUUAA